GUCGGCGACCAUACCACGUUGAAAGCACCAGUUCUCGUCCGAUCACCGAAGUUAAGCAACGUCGGGCCCAGUUAAUACUUGCAUGGGUGACCGGUUGGGAAUACCAGAUGUUGCCGGCU
rnacentral:rRNA from 1 species